UAUAGGUAAGUGCCGUUUUGGGUAAUGGUAUUUGUAAUGAUUGUAUGGUAUAUACCAAAUGCAAGGCGGCAUUUGAUCACGCGACCUUAAAGCGAGACAGAGAAACAAUGCAAAUGUUUUCCACAGCUUUUUGCGGCAUGGGAUAUGAAAAUGGCGAAAGGAUACAUCAGGUAUGCUGUUCCAAUUUUCCACCACUUAAUACGAGGCCUUCGUUUGGCACCAGAAGCGGAACAAGUAAAGAUCACCUUCUACCAGAAACGUGUGGAAGUAUUUUGGGAAAUCGUAUCUUUGGAGGCAAAUACGCUAAACUCUACGAAUCCCUU